GAGGCCUAGAAACAAGCUGUCCUUCUACCUGGGUUUCUGUCCAUCUCUCUCCUCAGCCCUCUUCAAGAUAUUUGGUUGAAAGUCAGCCACACUGGAAGCGAAGCUCAAGAUAUUGGAAACUCACCGGAGGAA